rnacentral:lncRNA from 1 species
GAAAGCAGCUUGGGACUCACUUCUAAAGUGUGUUUCCUCUAGAAUCAUGGUAUCUGUGAGACCCUGGGAGCAUCCUAGGGGAGGGAAGAGGGGCAGGACAGGGCCCAUUUCCGUGUCUUGCCUCAGUGGGCUCUUGGAAGUCAUUUCACUCCGAGUCCCUGAAGCUUCCUCCUUCAACAGUGGGACAGCACUUGGUGCAGAACGGACUUGACCCACAAAGGCAUUUGGUCUGGAUAAUCUGAUCUCUGGGCACAUUGAAGGUUGAGCCACCAGAAAGCAAGCCAAACGAUCCUUUCCUUUGGCAGGAGACAGAGCUGGGAAGAUGAAGGGACACAGCAAUAGCAGACAGCAGUGGUGGUCACGUGCACCGAGGCCCAGUGUAUUCUGGGCUUCCCAGAGAGCUGGGCAUGAAUCCAUCCCGUGGUAUUCUGUCUUGACCACAACAUGAUAGAGGCUGCUGCCUCAGGACAGUGAACGUAGAACUGAUUUCCCAGCCAAGGUUGUUUUGAAAAUCCCAGAGUUACAGAAAAGUUGAAAGAACAUAAUGAGCUUCCCGAUACCUCUCGCCCUGACCCACUAACCUCGGCCCUUUGCCACCUUCCCCUCAACUCUUACACUCAGAGACGUUUGGAGGACAGAAUGUCAUGAUGUCUGUAACAGUGAGGUGAUUCAGCCAAAGAAAACAUUGUAUAUCUCCCAUGAACAAGCUCAUUCUUCUAUAUAGUAGUGCCAUUGUCACACCCGAGAGAUUUAGUAUCUUACAGUAUUACCUAGUAAAAUCUGUAUGCAAAAAUCUCCCAACUGUCCCAAAAAUAUCCUGCAGAGCUUUUUGUGAAACUCGACGCCACCCAAGAUGACAUCCUACACUUGCUUGUCUUGUUGUCCCAGAACCCCCCAAUUGAGGGCAUCUCCCUCAGCAGUUGUGUCUCUCUUGAUAUUGAUAGUUUUGAAGAGCCCAGGCCCACAGUCUUGUAGAAUGCCCUAUGAUCUGCUUUUGUCUGCUUGUUCCCUCAGGUUGAGGAACUGUUGGCAAGAAAAGAGUUGAUGUUGUGUAGCUAUGAUUCAUGCUUUGGAUGUCUGUCUCCCUGGGGACCUCUGUGGUCGCUGCUUUCGUUGUGAAUAAACAA